GCACCGAUGGCGAAGCGGCUAACGCGCCGGUCUGCAAAACCGGUAUUCAUGGGUUCAAAUCCCAUUCGGUGCUCCA
rnacentral:tRNA from 1 species